rnacentral:rRNA from 1 species
AAUAUUUGACAAUGGGAGAAAGCCUGAACCAGCCAUCCCGGGUGCGUGAAUAAGGUCGUCGGACUGUAUAGCACCCUAAGUUGGGAGGGAGGGCACUAAGUUAAUACCUUUCUGAUUGGACGUUACCGACAGAAUAAGCACCGGCUAGCUCCGUGCCAGCAGCCGCGGUAAUACGAAGGGUGCAAGCGUUAAUCGGAAUUACUGGGCGGAAAGCGCGCGUAGGUGGUUUGUUAAGUUGGAAGUGAAAGCCCCGAGCUCAACCGGAGAACUGCUUUAAAAACUGGCAAGCUAGAGUAUGGCAGAGGGUGGUGGAAUUUCCUGUGUAGCGGUGAAAUGCGUAGAUAUAAGAAGGAACACCAGUGGCGAAGGCGACUACCUGGACUGAUACUGACACUGAGGUGCGAAAGCGUGGGGAGCAAAC